UUGGAGCUGCUGGACCUUCACAAGCGGCCACUACCAGAUGCCCCUUUAGGUGCUGAGACCUGGGCAGCAUCUCACAGGUACAUCUCCCCAUCCUGCAGGUCCUGGGACCCGGGCAGCAUCUCACAGGUACAUCUCCCCGUCCUGCAGGUCCUGGGACCCGGGCAGCAUCUCACAGGUCCUGGGACCCAGGCAGCAUCUCACAGGUGCAUCUCCCUGUCCUGCAGGUGCUGGGACCCGGGCAGCAUCUCACAGGUGCAUCUCCCUGUCCUGCAGGUGCUGGGACCUGGGCGGUGUCUCACAGUGGGAGGUGCAUAAGCUCGGGGGACAGCCAACUUUGCUCUGCAUCCCACUCUGCCACUUACUAGAUGUCAGGCUUAAGUUAGGUUACCCAACCUUUCUGAAUCCCAGUUUCCCCACCUAUAAAUAAGAAAUAAUACUGUUAGAACUCAUGUUUCCCCUCAAAAUACCAGAGAACUAAGUUCAAUUAUUUGGAAGCCAGGCAAGGAUACUGUGAAAGGAAAAUAGAAUCUCGGAACCCCGGCCGGGCGCGGUGGCUCAAGCCUGUAAUCCCAGCACUUUGGGAGGCCAAGACGGGCGGAUCAUGAGGUCAGGAGAUCCAGACCAUCCUGGCUAACAUGGUGAAACCCCGUCUCUACUAAAAAAUACAAAAAACUAGCCAGGCGUGGUGGUGCGCGCCUGUAGUCCCAGCUACUUGGGAGGCUGAGGCAGGAGAAUGGCUUGAACCCGAAAGGCGGAGCUUGCAGUGAGCUGAGAUCCUGCCACUGCACUCCAGCCUGGGUGACAGAGCGAGACUCUGUCUCAAGGGAAAAAAAAAAAGAAUCUCGGAACCCCAAACUCAGUAUGUCAAAGGGAAAAGUUAAACUUGGAAGCUGGGUCAUGCAAAAACUGCUGUUCCCUGUGUUCCUAAACAGAUAGCUAC
rnacentral:lncRNA from 1 species